rnacentral:rRNA from 1 species
GACAGAGGGUGCAAACGUUGCUCGGAAUUACUGGGCGUAAAGGGCGCGUAGGCGGUUCGGUAAGUCCUGUGUGAAAUCCCUCGGCUCAACUGAGGAACUGCACGGGAGACUGCCGGGCUUGAGUUCGGGAGAGGGAAGCGGAAUUCCGGGUGUAGCGGUGAAAUGCGUAGAUAUCCGGAGGAACACCGGUGGCGAAGGCGGCUUCCUGGACCGACACUGACGCUGAGGCGCGAAAGCUAGGGGAGCAAACGGG